rnacentral:rRNA from 1 species
GAUGAACGCUGGCGGCGUGCCUAAUACAUGCAAGUCGAGCGAACAGACGAGGAGCUUGCUCCUCUGACGUUAGCGGCGGACGGGCGAGUAACACGUGGAUAACCUACCUAUAAGACUGGGAUAACUUCGGGAAACCGGAGCUAAUACCGGAUAAUAUAUUGAACCGCAUGGUUCAAUAGUGAAAGACGGUUUUGCUGUCACUUAUAGAUGGAUCCGCGCCGCAUUAGCUAGUUGGUAAGGUAACGGCUUACCAAGGCAACGAUGCGUAGCCGACCUGAGAGGGUGAGCGGCCCCACGGGAACUGGGCCCCGUCCCAGACCCCUAGGGGGGGAAGCAGUGGGAAAUUUUCACAAAGGGGGGAAAGCCUGCCGGGCCAACGCCGGGGGGGUGAUGAAGGUUUUCGGAUCGUAAAACCCUUUUUUUGGGGAAAAAAAAAUGGGGAAGUAACUAUGCCGGUCUUGACGGUACCAAAUAAGAAAGCCACGGUAAACUCCGU